CAUAUUUCAUGUCCUAAUACCUUUUUUAACAACGCUAAAAAGUCUUUAAACUAAUAAUUCCUUUGAUCAUCAUUCAUAACAAGCGUGGGUGAUUUAAGUAUCCAACCUCUUUACUGGUAAUAUGAUCUCUACGAACAUCUUCUCUAUCCAUCAUUAAGAUAAUCAAAGUUUAUUUUUCUUCAUUGGAGGUUGAAUAAAAGUUUUUGCGGUUGAAUAAACUUCUGAAUCAA
rnacentral:lncRNA from 1 species